rnacentral:tRNA from 1 species
GGGGUUGUGGCUCAACGGUAGAGCAUGCACCUAGCAGAUGCGAGGCCCUGGGUUCGAUCCUCAGCACCACA